rnacentral:rRNA from 1 species
GGUGGUAGUAGCAAGUACUCUGGUGAACCAACCUGGAGCUGUGAGGUCUGGAUCAGGGUUCCAUGUCAACAGUGAUUGAACAUGGGUGAGUCGAUCCUAAGCCAACUGUGAAAGCAGUGACAUCCCGACAAAGGGUGGCUAGCACAUCUUGCACCCCCAGGGCCAUGAGUGCUCAAGUAUCUCUCUCUCUCUCGAUGACUUUGAUGAUGAUGCCGUCCACCGUGACGUUAAACUGAUGCUUGUCUCGAAUACGCGCUCACACACACGUGUGCUCGCGAGACGUCUUUCUGGUUACGCUCAUAAGCGUUGAGUUGCUAUGCUAUAUAUACAAAAAAAGGAGGGAGAGAGAGAGAGAAAUGUGUUGGGUGAGCGCGAGAUGAUUUGCUUUCGCAUUAGCUCCCUGCGUCUGGUUCUAUGUCUGGCGAAAGGGAAUGGGGACUUUGUUCCUUGACCGGUCCCGGCACCCUCGAUUGGCUUUGCCAGUCAAUGGUCCAUGCAAAUGGAACCAGGCCACAGCCGCCGGCAGUCGCCCGAGGAAGAGUUUUCUUUUCUGCUUAACGCACGAGGUCAUCCCUGGAAACAGUUCGGCUGGCGAAAGGGUGCCCCGUUGCGGCAGAGCGCCACGACUGUCGUGCGCGUCUCGGUGUUCCUGCCGGUCCGUGAAGACAUGGUCGAGGGGAUUGCUCUUGUCUCAACGAAACGCCCGACGAGUUCGGGACGGACCGUACCCUAUAUCCGCAUCUGGUCUCCAAGGUUCGUAGCCUCUGCAGAGUCAGACACAUGUANGUAAGGGAAGUCGGCAAACUCGAUCCGUAACUUCGGGAAAAGGAUUGGCUCUGAGGGCCGAGCUGGGCCGGGCCUUGCCUGCAAAGCAGUACCUAUAGUGACCGGAGUUUCAGGAGUGCGAGGGGCUCUAGUAGCUGCUGGUGUGCGUGCGCGCGUUCGCGCGCGUGUGCGUGUGCUGGCACGAACGAGUCCACCGCUCCGCUCCAACCACGAACGGCUGUGACGGCAAGGGCUCUGGGCGGGAGCGAUC